UACGGAGGGUGCAAACGUUGCUCGGAAUCAUUGGGCGUAAAGCGUGCGUAGGCGGCCCGGCAAGUCGAAUGUGAAAGCCCUCGGCUCAACCGAGGAAGUGCAUACGAAACUACCGGGCUUGAAUACCGGAGAGGGUGACGGAAUUCCCGGUGUAGAGGUGAAAUUCGUAGAUAUCGGGAGGAACACCAGUGGCGAAGGCGGUCACCUGGACGGAUAUUGACGCUGAGGCACGAAAGCGUGGGGAGCAAACAGG
rnacentral:rRNA from 1 species